CUAAAUCCUAAUCCUUCUUCUUCUGGUCUACCUGACCUUUCCUUCUCAAUAGAAACCCUAACCUCAGAAAAUUCUCAAUUUCUAACCACUUAGGAAACCCUAAUUAUUAUUAGCUUCAAUUGGCUGCAGAACUUCAUCAAUGACAUCGUCAAAACGACAUUACAAGGAGAAAUUUGCUCGUCGCAAAGAGGAGAAACCAGAGGAGCCAGAACCACCGAAAUAUAGGGAUCGUGCGAAGGAACGAAGGGAAGACCAAAAUCCUGAUUAUGAGCCCACGGAAUUGGGGUCCUUUCACUCAGUUGCUCCUCCAGGCGCCGUUGAUCUCCGGUCAGCUGACGCCCACAAGAUUUCAAUUGAGAAGAGCAAGUACCUUGGAGGUGAUGUGGAGCACACGCAUUUGGUGAAAGGACUAGAUUAUGCCUUGCUUAAUAAAGUGAGAAGUGAGAUUGAUAAGAAGCCAGAUGCUGGAGAUGAUGCUGAUGGGAAGUCUAGACCAUCUAAGGAAGACCAACAAUUGUCAUUUCGCACUGCAACUGCAAAGGUGUGCCAACUUUUGUGAAUAUGUAGAUUUAUGGAAUAUAUUCCUGUUUUAACUUAUUUAGUUGGAAGUUAGUUUUUUGCUUUCUUAAGUUCCUUACUUAUUGCCAUAUUUCCCUGUUUCAGUCUGUGUAUCAAUGCAUAGUGAAGCCUCAAACUAUUAUCAAGACAAAUGAGAUGUUUCUUCCCGGUCGAAUGGCAUUUAUUUUUAACAUGGAGGGUGGGUACUCUCAUGAUAUUCCAACCACAUUGCACCGGAGUAAAGCUGAUUGUCCAGUGCCAGAGGAAAUGGUUACUGUUAGUGUUGAUGGAUCUGUGCUGGAUCGAAUUGCUAAAAUUAUGUCAUAUCUUCGCCUUGGAUCUUCUGGGAAGGUUCUCAAGAAGAAAAAGAAGGAAAAAGAUGCAAAAGGAAAAGUUUCAGCUGCUAGCAAUGAAUAUGAUGAAGAGGGUAAGCAUGCAAAACCAAAUGGGGGGAUUUUGAACAAUAAAACUGAAAGAGAGAUUUUGCCUCUGCCACCACCACCACCACCACCUCCCAAGAGAGUUCAGUUUGAUUCUCAAGAGAAGCUGGGUCCUGCAGUUGCUAGGGAAGAAGAGAAUGACAUAUUUGUGGGAGAUGGUGUUGACUAUCAUGUUCCUGGAAAAGACAUGAGCCAAAGCCCUAUUUCAGAGGACAUGGAAGAGUCACCUAGAAACAAAGAUAGAACUUCCUAUUUCAAUGAACCUGUUUAUGGCCCCGUCCCUCCUUCUGCACCUUCUCAGGAUUGGCAAGACCUGAAUGGAUAUGAUGCAAUG
rnacentral:misc_RNA from 1 species